AAAAUAAUGCUAGCGCCUUCUUCCAGGGCGAGGGCGAGGGCGCUGGCGCUGGCGACGCGAGCUCUGGCUCCUCCCUGCCUGCGCGAAGAGCCAGCGUUCCAGACCUCGAUCGUGACCCCGGUGACGCGAUCCGGCAUUGGAUUACACACUGGCAAGGAGACGCGCGUGACGAUCUUCCCUGCUCGAGCCGGCGCUGGGAGAUUCUUCACGCUCCGGGAAGAUCCAAGGGACUACACGAUUCCAGCGUCGGCAGAAUUUGUGGUGCCGGAGGCUUGCAAGCUGAGUACUCGCGUGGGGAGGAUACGCACGGUGGAGCAUGUUCUAGCGGCCUUGGAGGGCUUGUGCGUGGACAACUGCCGGAUCCAUCUGGAAGGGAAUGACGAGGUGCCUUUGCUGGAUGGAUCGGCGUUGCCGUGGGUGGAAGCAAUCGAUCGCGCUGGGAUCUCUGCUGCCAAAGACGAGGAUGGGAGUGCUGUUGCUAGAAGAAAGAGGUUCAAGCUUAAGUUUCCAGUCCAUGUCGGGAACCCGGAAUCGGACUCGUUUGUAGCGGCUUUCCCAGCUUCGACCUCCAUGCUUACGUACUGUAUCGAUUUUCGCGAGCAUCCUGCGAUUGGAACUCAGUGCUUCACUUACUUUCCGGAUUCUUGCUCCUUUCGCGAAGAGGUUGCUCCGGCUCGGACCUUCGGUUUAUAUGAGCAGGUCAGAUUGAAAUGCUGAGAGGAGCAAAGCUGAUCCAAGGAGGAAGUCUAGAGAACGCUUUGAUCUGCAAAAAAGUAACUGGCUGGGUGAAUCCGCCGCUUCGAUUCCGGGACGAGCCUUGCCGACACAAGAUGCUCGACCUCUUGGGCGAUAUCUCGUUGUGCUCUCGAGGUGGCCAUCCC